rnacentral:rRNA from 1 species
CUCCGGUGAUCCCCGCCGGACCCGACUGCUAUCAGAGUGGGACUAAGCCAUGCGAGUCAACAUAGCAAUAUGUGGCAUACGGCUCAGUAACACGUAGUCAACAUGCCCAGGGGACGUGGAUAACCUCGGGAAACUGAGGAUAAACCGCGAUAGGUCAUCACUUCUGGAAUGGGUAAUGACUUAAAUCUAUAUGGCCCCUGGAUUGGACUGCGGCCGAUCAGGCUGUUGGUGAGGUAAUGGCCCACCAAACCUGUAACCGGUACGGGCUCUGAGAGGAGGAGCCCGGAGAUGGGCACUGAGACAAGGGCCCAGGCCCUAUGGGGCGCAGCAGGCGCGAAACCUCUGCAAUAGGCGAAAGCUUGACAGGGUUACUCUGAGUGAUUUCCGUUAAGGAGAUCUUUUGGCACCUCUAAAAAUGGUGCAGAAUAAGGGGUGGGCAAGUCUGGUGUCAGCCGCCGCGGUAAUACCAGCACCCCGAGUGGUCGGGACGUUUAUUGGGCCUAAAGCAUCCGUAGCCGGUUCUACAAGUCUUCCGUUAAAUCCACCUGCUUAACAGAUGGGCUGCGGAAGAUACUAUAGAGCUAGGAGGCGGGAGAGGCAAGCGGUACUCGAUGGGUAGGGGUAAAAUCCGUUGAUCCAUUGAAGACCACCAGUGGCGAAGGCGGCUUGCCAGAACGCGCUCGACGGUGAGGGAUGAAAGCUGGGGGAGCAAACCGGAUUAGAUACCCGGGUAGUCCCAGCUGUAAACGAUGCAGACUCGGUGAUGAGUUGGCUUAUUGCUAACUCAGUGCCGCAGGGAAGCCGUUAAGUUUGCCGCCUGGGGAGUACGGUCGCAAGACUGAAACUUAAAGGAAUUGGCGGGGGGAGCA